GAUGAACGCUAGCGGCAGGCUUAAUACAUGCAAGUCGAACGGGAUUUAGGAGCUUGCUUCUAAUGAGAGUGGCGCACGGGUGAGUAACACGUACACAAUCUACCUUGUACAGGGGGAUAGCCUUGGGAAACUGAGAAUAAUACCCCAUAGUUUUAAUUAUCGCAUGAUAGAUUAAAUAAAGCUGAGGCGGUACAAGAUGAGUGUGCGGAUGAUUAGGUAGUUGGUAGGGUAACGGCCUACCAAGCCGACGAUCAAUAGCUGGCGUGAGAGCGCGACCAGCCACACUGGAACUGAGACACGGUCCAGACUCCUACGGGAGGCAGCAGUAGGGAAUAUUGGACAAUGGGCGAAGCCUGAUCCAGCCAUGCCGCGUGGAGGAUUAAGGGCCCUCUGGGUUGUAAACUCCUUUUUAUCUGGGAAGAACCAUUCCGACUUGUCGGAACAUGACGGUACCAGAGGAAUAAGCACCGGCUAAACUCCGUGCCAGCAGCCGCGGUAAU
rnacentral:rRNA from 1 species